rnacentral:rRNA from 1 species
AUGUUGUCACUCCACAACACAAAGUAUCAUAACACGCAGAGAGAGAGAGAGAGAGAGAGAGAGAGAGAGAGAGAGAGAGAGAGAGAGAGAGAGAGAGAGAGAGAGAGAGAGAGAGAGAGAGAGAGAGAGAUGGCAGCCAGCAGCAUGAGCAGGGACGAGAGGUGGAGCCUGGCCGGCGCGACGGCGCUCGUCACCGGCGGUAGCAAAGGGAUCGGCCACGCGAUCGUGGAGGAGCUGGCGGGGCACGGGGCGAGGGUGCACACGUGCGCCCGGAGCGCGGCGGAGCUGGAGGAGUGCCGCCGCCGGUGGGAGGCCAAGGGGCUCCCGGUCACCGUCUCCGUCUGCGACGUCUCCCUGCGCGCCCACAGGCUGCAGCUCCUGGAGACGGCCAAGCAGGUCUUCGACGGCAAGCUCGACAUACUGGUGAACAACGCGGCGCAGAUUCUUGCUAAGGCCAGCGUGGAGUGGACAUCGGAGGAGUACUCACAUCUGAUGGCGACCAACCAAGAGUCGUACUUCCACCUCAGCCAGCUCGCGCACCCCUUCCUCCUCAAUGCCACCAUAGCCGGAGGAGGUAGCAUCGUCAACAUAUCCUCCCAUGCCGGCUCACUCGGCUUCCCUGGCCUCGCGCUCUACAGUAUGGCAAAAGGAGGAAUCAACCAGCUUACAAGGAGCCUUGCUACAGAGUGGGCCCAGAACAAGAUCCGCGUGAACUGUGUCGCCCCUAGCGCGACUAAGACCGACAUGUUAAACAGUCUAGGACCGGAGAUCAUAGAAAACGAGUUGGCCAGGACUCCGAUGCGGCGAGCAGGCGAGCCAGCCGAGGUGGCGACUGUGGUGUCAUUUCUCUGCAUGCCGGCGGCGUCCUUCGUCACCGGCCAAGUCAUCACCGUCGAUGGUGGUCGGACCAUUAGUGGUUAG